rnacentral:lncRNA from 1 species
UUCAGGUGAAUAAAGAUUAGAUGGUCUGUGGCACCACGUGCUCUGACUGGAUCUUUCAUCAUUUAAUAAAAGGUUAUUUAAAUGGAUUUAUCGUUGAUCUAUAUAUUUGUUUUUAUUUCAUCUUUAGUGAUACCUUUUUGUUUUAACAUUCUAGUGGCAAAUUGUGUCUAGAAAAAUAAGGUUGUAAAUUGAUUUGCUGCAACUCAUAUAAAUAUCAAACAACAAUGGUGUCACAUGUGGAGCAUGAUUUGUUUACUCUUCCAGGUUAGAUUUUUUCCUAAAAUAAUAUCUUUAUUGCACUUUUUUUUGCUGUUUUCACAAAUUACUCGACCUACAGCAGUUACGAGAUCACUUCAAGUUUUUAAUGCGGUUUCUGUUGCUCAUUCUUUGGUUUUCUUUGUUGUGUUUUUAGUUAUUGUUGUAUGUCUGUUGAUUUUAAUCAUAUAUACAAUUUAGAGAUGCACAAUCUCAACAUAGAGGAGAAUCAUUUUCUACAAUUACGUCUGAAAAUGUAAUUUCUGUGUUCUGUGUUAUAAAAAUAAAGAGGUAUGCAGUUUUGAAUGACAGAGUCAUUAGAUAUACUCGAUAAGUUGAUUAAAUCAAUAAUCUGUUAACAUACAUUUUUAGAUCAAUCCGUUUAUUAUCGUCAGGUUUAUAGAAAAGGAACAGCCUAUGGUGACUAAAUGCUGUAGUAAUAUACGAACAUUCAUACAACCUGCUUGUAUCAUGUAAUUCAUUAUGUCCUAUCUGCUUUCGAAAAUUGGUAUUUGACCCAGUUUACACAAUAAGUUUAAGGUAUGUUGCCUUGAGGUUGUUCUAUCAAAUUUUCACUUUGACCUUUUCCGCGAAUUUUACCUACCGAAUAAAAUGUAUUACCGGGUUUGUAAUAACACGAGCAACACGACAAGCGCCACAUGUGGAUCAGGCCUGCUUACCCUUUCGCAGCGACCCCAAAUUCUUGGUAAAUAUAAAAAAUAAGAUGCGGUAUGAUUGCCAAUAAGACCAAAAUGACACAGACAUUAACUAUACUAUAGGUUACCGUACGGCCUUCAACAAUGAGCAAAGUCCAUACUGCAUAGUCAGCUAUAAAAGGCCUCGAUAAGACAAUGUAAAACAAUUCAAACGAGAAAACCAACGGCCUGAUUUAUGUAAAAAAAUGAACGAAAAACAAACAUGUAACACUUAAACAAACGACAACCACUGAACUACAGGCUCCUGACUUGGGACAGGCAUAUACAUAAAUAUAUGCGGGGUUAAACAUGUUAGCGGAUCCCAACCCUCUCCCUAACUUGGGACAGUGGUUUAACAGUAAAACAUAAGAACGAACUAUAAGAAUCAGUUGAAAAAGGCUUACCUCAUCAGAUGGACAAACAUCAAGGAGAAAAUUAAAAGGUUCGUGUUGCUCUGUCUUUAGUUUUCUAUGUAAUUUUUGUGUACUGUUGUUUGUAUUUUUGUCUGUAGUUCUUUGUUUUGUGUAGUCAUUGCGUUGUCAAUGUAUAAAAGAAGAUGUGGUAUGAUUGCCAAUGAGAUAAUUCUCCACAAGAGAUCAAAUGACAGAGAAAUUACCAACUAUAGAUCGCCAUACGGUCUUCAACAAUUAGCAAAGCCUAUACCGCACAGUCAGCUCUAAAAGGCCCCGAGAUGACAAUGUAAAACAAUUCAAACAAGAAAAAUAACCGCCUAAUUUAUGGUAAAACAAAAAAUGAAAAACAAAUAUGUAACUCAUAAACAAACGACAACCACUGAAUUACAGGCUCCUGUCUUACUACAGGCAUAUACAUAUAGAAUGUGGCGGGGUUAAAAAUUUUAGCGGGAUCCCAACCAUCCACCUAACCUAGGACAGUUUAUUUUUGACUAUGAGUUUGAAUGUCCCUUUGGUAUCUUUCGCCUUUUUUUCAAAUUGUAUGCGAUUGCUCUUGUUGAUUCUGGAUCGUUUCGAGUUUCUACAAAGACAAAACAGAAACAGUUAUAAUACAAAUAAAUAAAUACAUAUUUCGAAACAUAUAUAUAUGUAGAACUCGGAGGUGAGAUUGGAAGGCUGAAGUGCGAUGGUAACGCUGAAAUGUGAUGAUCUACACUUAAGUAUGAUGGUCCCUACGCUGAUGUGCUAUAAUCUAUUUGACUCAUGGUUGUCAUUCUAAAGUCAACAGAAGUGCAAUCAAAAUGAAACUAGAUUUGAUAAUUGUUAGUACGAGGUGUAUAUACAUUUAUCUGCAUUAUUCAUGGUCUAUGGAUGUCCUUACAAUUGCAUAAUAAAUGAGAGUUCGUCCUCUUUGAUUUUUUACAUAUGGGAAUAAUUCUGCAUUAGAAUUUUAUCUGUAAUACGUUGUUUCAUUCAUAAACUCCAUGUUUACCGCAAAUGUACAAUGAUGAGAUGUCUGUAAUUGAAAAAUGUCACGCCCAAACGUUCGUAAAACAGAAUCUUUCGUAUAUAAAAAAAUACUUUGCUGCAGAAGAUUAUCUCUCCCCUAUCAACAAAUCCGUAUCGUUCUCCGUAGUUUAAAAAGUUUAUAAGCAUCUUGUCAACUUAAAAAACUGGAAUACGGUUUCUAACAUACAAAUUGUUAUCUACAUCGACAUGAAAAACAUUGCAAAUUGUAGUUUGUAAAGACCAUACAUGUAGCACAUCAGCGUUACCAAGAUCGCAGUUCGGCGUAGCUAUUAACAAAAUGGCGUCACCAUGACACCAUCUCACUUCAGCGCGAUCAGAAACGCACUUCAGUGUCAAAUCAUCACACCGCAACGUGACCAUUGCGGUUCGGACUACCAACGCGGUUCGGAAUACUACCGCUGUUCACAGUCCUACAUAUAAUAUAUACAUCCUCUAUCAUUUUCCAUAUAAAUACAGGUAAAAAAACUGUCAAAAUAGAUAGUACCCUCACAUUAAAAUCAAUAUAAAAAACGUUUGAUCCACAAGAAAAAAAAUCUAUCUUGUAUUACUAUAAAAUGGCAGAUGUACAUGUUUGGGCAUAUUCUUGGUUUUGGUAAGGGUUUAAAUAUUUUAUUUUUACAAAUAACUAUUCGAUUUGAAAGUAAUUGAUUAGCAGUUUCUCCAUCCUUUUCUCCUUCUUUAUAUUUCCUGUUUAUGUAUUAUUGACUGAUAGCUGACUACAGUUUGUGGCUACCGUAUGUGAUAAAAUGUAAUAGUAACAUCAAUAUGGAUAAUUUGGAUCGUGUUGUUUAUUUUUAAGUUUUCUAUGUUAUGUCAUGUGGGCUGUUGUUUGUCUUUUUCAUUUUUAGCAAUGGCGUUGUCAGUUUGUUUCUUUGAUUUAUGAGUUUGACUGUCCCUUUGGUAUCUUUCGUCCCUCUUUUAUCAACAUCAACAUCUAACCACAGCAAAUCCAUUUUUAUGUAAUGUAUCAUAUACUUAGCAUUAUUAUGACAGCUUUUGCAUAUGUGUAAUGAAAGGAAGUACACAAGCCAUAAUUUCACACCAAAGCUGAAAACCCAUAUCAGGGGACUCUCGGAGAAUUCGCAACAGCAUAGUGAAAUAUUUUUUUGGUGGGGUGUGGGGAAUUUGCUAAGCAUACGCGUAUUUUUUUUUGGGGGGGGGGAUCAAUCUGCAACAGCAGAAUAUAUUGCACAAAAGCAAAAAAAAAAAUCAAAUUAAAUUCAAAUCAUUAAACCCAUUCUUAGUUGUUUGACUACAAUUAUUCUGUGUUAAAAACCUAUUAUGUGUCAAAUAUUUAAUUACAAUCCAAAUUCAGACCUGUACCAAGCGCGAAUAUGGUCUCCAUUUUUGCUUCCACUAUUCAGGGUAAGGCCUCUGUGGUCGUGUGCAGAAGCGCUAGGCGAAGCAACUUAUUUAGACAUAUUUUAGAUUUGCCAUGUUAUAAUAACUUAAAAGGACUAUAAAAUGUUUUAUAUUGUUUACUCUUCUAUGAAUAUUUAAAAUGUUUUUGACUUCUUGUAAUUCAUCACAUAUAUUGGCGUCUAUCGUCUUACAUUAAUAAACUGGACAAGCUAACAUAUACAAAUACAUGAAUCGUCGCAUAGCUACUACGUUAUGUUCUAUGUCGAUAUUUGUUGAAAAUGAAGACAUUUUAUAUUUGAGAUCCAAAUUAUAAUUUAUUCAAUUAUAUAGGAAUUUUGGACUUGUUAUAUUAAUUAUUUUAUAAAUGUCUAAUGCUAUGGUUCUUCUGAUUUUCGUGUUGGUAGAUUAGACAAUUCAAUGAUCGAAUCAUAAGAAAUGUUUGUGUAGUCGUCAUAAAUGAAUCUUGAAUAUUCUUUCUUGUAUUUUGUUCUAUCUUCUCUGUGUUUUGUAGAAGCGUCAUGUAUAAGAGGACACUAGAUGAGGUUUGACAAGAUACAUGAGUGGUUUAUUGUAAGUUUAGAAAGUCUGGUGAGAUGGUGACGAUUCGUUUUAGUACAUUUAGUUGUCAUGCAGCUCUCUAUAUAUGCUGAAUCCAUUUAGCUUGAAGGCCAGAUAUUGAGCGUGUUUUUUUUAUCCAUGGCAAUUGUCUGGAAUUUAUCUGUGUUUGCCUGAAUUUUGUUGAAAGAGAACAACGAUAUUAGGAAGUGACUAUUUUCCCCUAAGGGUUUAAUUACUGACUCCACAGUAGUACCAGAUUGAGAGAGGCUGUUAGAAUCAGCAUAGCUAUAUAACUCAUUGACAGCAAGAAAGACGACGGAAAAUGUACCAGAGAGUCAAACUCAUAAAGCGAAAAUAAACUGACAACGCCAUGGCUAAAAAUGAAAAAGACAAACAGACAAACCAUGCAGUACACAUGACACAACAUAUAAAACUAAAGAAUAAGCAACACGAACUUCUCACCAAAACUUGGGGUGACCUCAGUGUUCCAGAAGGGUUAGAAGAUGCUGCUCCACACCGUGAACACCAGUCUUGUUGCUCAUGUUAUAACAAAUCCGAUAAAUAGUCUAAUUCCGUAGGUCACAUUCAUGAAAGGGAAGGAGAAAGAUGUCAUUUAUAAAUACGUUAAACAGGAGGUAAGUUGAAUUCCUGAUGAACACCUUUGUAAUUAUCUUGCAUUUGGCUGAUACUGAUAUAUUUUUACGCAACGUAUUAUCAUCGAAAGAUAACUUUUUAGCAAUUCAAGAGCAGAGGGGCUGAAAGGUUAUUUUUUUUUUCAAUUUACAAAGAAGAAUAUAAUGUUAAGGACAGUCAAAAGCUUUACUGAGAGCCAUCAAUAUUGCUACUACUACUAAGUGUUAACUAUCAUCCCGUGCUUUUUCCCAUCUUCCAACCUGAGCAUCACUGAUGAUUCUCAUGCAGAAGAAACACGCGUUAGACGUAUUAAAUUAUUAUCCUGGUACCUAUGAUAACUAUUAGCAUGUCGAACUUUUCCAUUGUACUUGUAUAUUUCUCUGUCCUGAAUGUUCUUUAUUUGUACCGUAGUCCUGUCAUGUAAUUUUGUCGUUUUAUUAUCAUGUUUUAACAUUGCUAUAAAAGCACAAGGUUUGGCUAGAAGCAAAACCAGAUUUAACCCAAUAUUUUGUUGUCGAACCUGCGACUUUUGUCGCAGAAAGCUUGACAAAGUGAUAGUGAUCUGGCGGUGGCGUGAGCUAACUUCUUAAAAUGUUUGUAUUUUAGAAGGUGAAAGAUUUGGAUGCUUCAUAUUUUGUAUACAGAUUUGUUUUGUUACGAAGUUUUCGUCUGUCACAUGACCAUUGUAAUUGACCUCAUUUUCAUGGUUCAGUGAUUACUUGAAAAAAAAGUAAAGAAUUUUCGUAAUAUUAAUUACUCUUUUAAUAUGAGUAAUAGGAUAAUUUUAUUUGGUAGUAGCAUACCUAGUAAGGUCCUCAUACGCGUCAGAUAGUUUUCACUUGACCUCAAGCUAUAAGCAAUAGGUCUAGUAUAUUCGGUGUAUAUAAGGACUGUAAUGUGUACAUGUCUAACUGGAAGGUGUCAUCUGUCCUUGUCCUUAUUUUCAUGGUUUAGAUGUUAAAGUUAAGUUUUUUGUGUUUUGGUCUGUUUUUCUUAUACUGUAUGCAAAAGGUCUACUAUAUUUGGCGUCUGGAAUGAUUGUAAGGUAUACAUCUCUAACGGGCAGGUGCCUUCUGACCUUGAAUUCAUUUUCAUGUGCAGUGGUCAAGUUAAGUUUUUAAGUUUGGUCUUUUUUUCUAAAACUAUAUGCAAUAGAUCAACUAUAUUUGUUGUAUUGACAUAUUUUAUGAUGUACACGCCAGUCACGCACCUUUAAUUUGACCUUGAUCUCAUUUUCAAGGAUCAUUGGUCAGUGUUAAGUUUUUGUGUUUUGCCUGUUUCUCUUCAACUAUAAGCAAUAGGUCACAUAUAUUUGUUAUACUAGAACACACCCGUGAUAUCGCGGGUCCGUGACUGAAUUAAAGUAUAUAACUAUGCGCAAGCCUUAUUUUAGUAUUAGUACUGUCAUCUGAUAAAGUUAUGCCGAUUAUAAGAUACACAAUGUUCUCUGCUUUCAAAUCUUUCUGUUUGAACCCGUCGAACUGGAACUUAUCAAUUAUUGGUAUAUUAAUUAUUUGAAACAAAAGGUCCUGGAAGAGUAUUUUUUUAAUCAACAGCAUUGUCCUAUAUUAGUUAUAAAAUAAAGUUGAAUUCUUUGAUUCGCUGUUUAUGUCAUGCCGCUAACAAAUUGAAACUUAUUUUAGUCCAGAUUUUUUAGUAUUCGUAUUGUUAUCUUAGAAAUUCUUACGGAUUAAAAUACUACAAUAGGUAACAAUUUGAUAAUUUAGUAGUGUUAACCCUGUGAUUAUGACCCGCGUAUAUAGCAUAUUAAUCUGAAUACACGUUUGGUGUGCGCCUGUCAAAUGCGAACGUACAGAUAAGGUAAUAGGUAACAGGUGAUUAUACUAUGGUAUCGAUCGGACUCGACCUGAACUUCCUAAUUAUUGGCAAUAUUAAUUACGUGGAAAACAAAAGGGCCUGGAGUGGUGUAAUUUUUAAUCUACACCUUUGUGCUAUACAAGUUCUAUAUAAAGUUGAAUUCUUUGAUUUGUCGCUUUUACGUGAUGACGGCUGACAAAUUGGACCUCGUGAUUUUAGUAUUAUAGAUGGACUGAUUGUAAAAGAGGGACGAAAGAUACCAGAGGGACAAUCAAACUCAUAAAUCGCAAAUAAACUGACAACCCCAUGGCUAAACAUGAAAAAGACAAACAGACAAGCAAUAGAACACAUGACACAACAUAGAAAACUAAUGAAUAAGCAACACAAACCCCACUAAAAACAAGGGAUGAUAUCAAGUGCUCCGGAAGGGUAAGCAGAUCCUGUUGUAAGCUGUAUAUGUCUGUCUGACAUGAUUCCUCUGACCUCAUUUUCAUGGUUCGUUGGUCAAUAUUUAGUUUUCUUGGUUAAGACUGUUUCUUAGAAACUAUAGACAAUAGGUCAACUAUAUCUAGUAAUUGAAUAAUUGUAAGGUGUACAUAUAAAAUUGAGAAUGGAAAUGGGGAAUGUGUCAAAGAGACAACAACCCGCCCAAAUAAAAAACAACAGCAGAGGGUCACCACAGUCUUCAAGUAGCGAGAAAUUCCCGCACCCGGAGGCGUCCUUCAGCUGGCCCCUAAACAAAUAUAUACUAGUCCAGUGAUAAUGAACGCCAUACUAAUUUCCAAAUUGUACACAAGAAACUAAAUUUAAAUAAUACAAGACUAACAAAGGCCAGAGGCUCCUGACUUGGGACAGGCGCAAAAAUGCGGCGGGGUGAAACAUGUUUGUGAGAUCUCAACCCUCGGCGGGGUUAAACAUGUUUGUGAGAUCUCAACCCUCCCCCUAUACCUCUAACCAAUGUAUUUAUUGUUAAGUUUAUAUGACCCUUAUCUCAUUUUUUUAUCAAGUUAAGUUUAUAUGAUAGUUGUAGUAAAGCGUAUACUUAGGACUAUUAACAUACUAUCAAUGAUUAGUAAAGAAAGAGAGACAUUUCAGCGUGUGCACGUUUGUCUUAGGCAUGUACCAAGUCAGGUGAAAUGGCAGUUGUUAUUUUAUAGUUUGUUUCUGUGUACGUUGCAUUGUUGUUUUGUUUUUGAUGCAUUUCUGUAUUGUUGUUGUUUCGUUGUUUUCCUCCUAUAGUUUAAGUGGUUCCCUCAGUUUUAGUUUGUAACCCGGAUGUGUUUUCUUUUAAUCGAUUUAAUUCUUUCGUGUUGGUAAGUCUUUAGUUGUCUAUGUUGUGCAUUCUGUACUAUUAUUUGUAUGUUUGUCUUUUUUAUUUUAGCCAUGUAUUCGUCAGUUUAAUUAUUUUUAAUCUGUGAGUUUGACUUUCCCUCUGGUAUCUUUCGCCCCUCUUUUCGAACAGCGGUAAACUAUUGUUGCCUAAGAAAUAUUGACUGACAGCCAAAGCCCGAUCGAAAUGCCCGAAUGAGCCAUUUAUUUUGUCAUUUGAUUAGGGACUUUCUGUUUUUUAAUUUUCAUUGGAGUUCAGUAUUUUUGUGAUUUUAGUUUUUUUUCUAUACUUGGGUGUUUUUUAUUCACUUAUAUGUUGUUGUCACCGAUGGUUUUUUUUUGCAACAUAUACAAAACAAUUAUUUUUUUUUUAGAUAUUUCUUGUUUGUUUGUGAUGAUUUUAUUAACUUCCUGUGGUAUAUGGUUUCUUUUUGGAUGGUGCAUCCUUUGAAUAUUAAGAAUGGCGUUUCUGUUGAUGUUCCCUCUUUUGGGUUGUUUCAUCAUAUAGUGUUUCACUAAUUCCUGUUUAAACUUGCUGUACGGAGUGUGUUCUCUCCUUUGUUUAAGACUGUAUGGGUACUGGUUAUCAUUGACAUCUUUGUUCUUUGUUUUUUUUUUCUCUCGGAAAUUUAUCACAUCGUCAAUCCUAACACCGGGCAUAUCCAUAUACUUACAAGGAGGGACGAUGUAUAUAUUAGUACAUUUAAAAACGUUAGUACGGACAAUCCUUUUCAUCGAAUAUACUAUGUAAAGUAUGUAAAUGUAUGUAAAGGCGAUAAUUGAAGUAUUAUUUGUUUAAGGAUAAAAAUCGGUCAAGGUCUAGUAUAACAUUAUAUGCGAUAUGGAUUUUGCUCAAGAUGUAGGCCGUACGGUGACAAAUAUAUCUGAUAUGUAUUUCAUUUGAUAGUCUAGACUUGUAUUGUUUGUUUGUCUGAGUCAUUAUAUAAAAUGUAAUAUAAAUUUCACUGAAAUUUGUUAUGUCUUCCGCAUGGUCGGCUUGACUAUUAUAUCAAGGUUGAAUUGUGUAGGUCUCUACCAAACAUAACAUAUGCAGCGUAAUUGUUUAUAUUAGGCUUUUAUAGAAAAAUAGAAUAGUUUCAAAUUCAAACAAAAGCGAAAAAAAAAUCGGUCAGAAUUUUUUUCCAGCAAAGUAUAUAACCAAGGUAAAGUAGUUUACCUUCUCCACACAUACUUCGACAGAGAAGAUUGAAGGAACGAUCUGAAAACAGUCUUUAAUUUGUAAGUGUUUGUUAAUUUUAUAUUAUUUUUACCUGGCUUUAUAACUUAUAUAUUAUUUUAUAUAUAUUUUAGAUCUGCCAUGCUACACCAACUUAAUCAGACUGAUCUUUUUGUUUACUAGAUAACACUUUGAAUAUCUUAAAUUCUAAGGUUUUUGUACCUUAGCUGUAUUUAGCAUCACUUUUGGGAAUUUUUGGUUCUCGAUGAUCUUCAAAUUCGUACUCUACUUGGCAUUUUUAACAGUUUUCGAUUCAAGCGUCACUGGUGAGUCUUUUGUAGGAGAAACGCGCGUCUGACGCAAAUUCAAAAUUGAAAUCAUGAUAUCUAUUUCUUCAUAUGCAUGGAUAUUUAGAAUAUUUUGGACUCUUAAUAAUUUAUCACAUGUCUUAAUGUCUAUCUUCUUAGAUAAAUCAACUGGACCUUAUAUACACAAAUCGUCGUAUGAUUCUGAUAAUGGUCUAUGUCGAUGCUUGCUAAAAAUGAAGAUAUUUUUAUAUUUGAGAUCCAAAUUGUACAACGAUAACAUGAAAUUUCUACAUUCUACGACUUUAUGUUAGAACUAUACGAGUUGGACAUUGGACGUUCAGUAAACAAUAAUUUUAGUAUGUUUUAUUUUCAGAUGUCACUACUAUAAAAACAAUUGCUAUCAAAAUUAUCUCAGUACUAGAAUGAUCUUACCUCAAUCGUUGAGUCAUAUUCAGCCAAUCCAGCACUGGUUUUUUGCGCUUUGGUCGGGUUGUUAUCUCUGGGACACAUUUUCAUUCUCAAUUUCAUUACAUAAUUUGGAAUAACUCAGAAUUAAACAAAACCAUGGAUAAAAAUUGAAAAUAUCAUUGAAUGAGGUUAAGAAAAAAAGAUAUGUAGAAACUUUAUAUUCAUUUGGUUCCUGAAUAAAACAAAACAAUUUUGAUAAAUUUUCUGUGGAUAGAACACUACAAUAUACAAUAUGUACAAUUUUAUAACAUUUAGAAACAUAGGAUUUACAUAACUAGAACUUUCACCCGACUCAUUUUCACAAGGAUAUUUGCAUUUACAUGGAAACUAAAAUACUGAACAUAUUCAUGCAGGCAAUAGCGAGAAAAAAUAUGUAUAAUGAGAGACAGUGUUAUGUUGAAACGUUUAAUAUGAAUGUGACCUACCGAAUUAGACUAUUUACCGGAUUUGUAAUCACAUAAGCAACACGACGGGUGCCACAUGUGGAGCAGGAUCUGCUUACCCUUCCGGAGCACCUGAGAUCACCCCUAGUUUUUGGUGGGGUUCGUGGGGUUUAUUCUUUAGUUUUCUAUGUUGUGUCAUGUGUAGUUAUUGUUUUUCUGUUUGUCUUUUUCAUUUUUAGCCAUGGCGUUGUCAGUUUGUUUUAGAUUUAAGAGUUUGACUGUCCCUUUGGUAUCUUUUUUCCCUCUUUUAAUAGAUAUAAUGAAAAUUACGUGAAGUUAUCAAGAAUAUCAAUUGUGAAAAAUUAAACAGAUAUGUUUUUAUUUUCAUAAUUUUACUACAGAAUAAAGUGCAAUUCUUAUGACUUUUUUACUACUAUAACUGCACUUACACUGUGAAUAAGAAACGAUUUGGCAUUUUUAUUUGCUCUAAACAUCUGUAUGACUAUUUGACUGAGUUUCAAAUUUAUCACCCAUUCAGUCUGGUUUUAAACAUAAUCCUUCAUUUCAAAUUGCCCGCAUUAAUAUCGUUUAUAGAUGACUACACGAAAUGAAUAAUGAAAAUAUCGAUAUGGCAGUUCUCCUGGAUUAUAUAAAAAGUAUUUGAUUUGUUGCUUGUGAAGUUUUAAAUAAAAGAAAUCCAUCAAAUUCAUGGUUUCCAUGACAGUACGGUUUAUUUUUUUUAAAAUCACAUUUGACAAAAACCCACACAAAGUCCAUACAAGUCAUAUAAGUAAUAAAUAUUCUGAUAACAUAUUUCUCAGGGCUCAAUCAUUGGUCCUAUUUUAUUUAUUUUGCACAUAAAUUACCUUCCAUUAUAUAUAUUCAUAAAAAAGUGAAAUACAGACGUGUAUGCUGAUGACACAACUAUGCAUACAUGAGGAAAGAGUAUUGCAGAUAUGCAGAUACAAGUACAUGAUGAACUCUAAUAUGUUGAAAAAUUAUGCAUGAAAUAACAUAUUCAUAAAUUCGCGUAAAAUUAAAUGUAUGGUUAUCGUUACAAGACAAAGGCUGAGUUUUCAUCAAGCAAAACCAUUUCUUACUUUUCAGAAUAAUAUUCUCCAAAAAUCAAAUGUGUUGACUCUUAUCUGCCAUAUUAUUUUUUAUGUUCAUCAAUAUCAUCAAGAAUUCAUUUUCUUUCUGAAAUCAAGACAUUUCCAAAAUAUUGAUCCAAGAAAAUUAUUUUUAUAAUGGUUAUAAUCUCCCACUGAUAGAUUAUUGUUGUAUUAUUUGGAGUAGUUUUGCUAACAUGAGCUAGCAAUACUGAUAAAAUUGAUAAAAAGUGCACCAAGAAUAAUUUUAUAUAUGCUGAGGGGGAUGGGCUUUAGGCAAGCUUUGGUUCCCUCUUUCACUUACAGAAGUAAUAUUUUAUAUAAAGUACUUAAAGAAAUAUAAUUAUAUUUAAAUACAAUUACCCUAAAAAUUAUAUAGCUACAUUCAUGAAUGUGUAUUAUGUAUUCUUAUUAUUGGCUGUUCCAGUGUUACACACAUAUUUUAUGGUAAAUGCACUGUGAAUAUAGUAUCAUUGGUGAUGUUUUGAAAACAAUGAAAUACCUGUAUAGCAAUUUAGUUGAUAUUUGAUAACUAUAUGUUCAUUAGAAAAAUGUCAUGUACAGAGCACAAAUACUAAUGUGACGUAACGUUCAUGUUUAACAGAGUUUUUGGACGUAAUAUCUACAUAAGCCUGAAAAUGUCAUGGCGGGUCACACAUCUCUUUAGUACCUGUUUAGAUUGAAAAUCACCCUAACAUCAUAUAUAAAGUCACAAAAAAAUUUCUACGCUUUAAACAGAAAAUUUACAAUUUUUUUUUACAGUGUCUGAACCAGAGCAGGAUCAUUUAAAAAGAGAGCAAUUUAAUAUAUUUGAAUGUGAUUUUAACUACAGCACCAAACUAUUUUUUUUUUUCAUGUUCAAAUUUGAUCGUUAAGAUGAAGGUUAUAUAAUCAGAAAUUCUAACGCAGAAAAUUUUAUCAUACAUUAUAAUACAUUGUAUAUCCUUUAGGUGAGCAAAUCCUCUGCAAGAUGAAAGUAGUCAAGAUCCUGUGUGCAAUGUUGAUGAUGGUUAUAUCAGUUUUAGCAGGAACAGCUAGUGGACAUCAACAACCAGGUCUACCACAACCAGGACGACUUGAAUUUAACAGAGUAAAACGAGAUGCUAAUGACAACACUUUUGAUAGAAUCGUAACGUAACUGAUAAUUACAAAAAACAAAAUAUAAUUCAUUGUACUGAGUUUUAAAUUACUACUGCUACUACUAUUACUUCAAUAAUAAUAAUAAAAAAAUAAUAAUAAUAAUAAUAAUAAUAAUAAUAAUAAUAAUAAUAAUAAUAAUAAUAAUAAUAAUAAUAAUAAUAAUAAUAAAAAUAAUUCAUGAUAAUAUUAAUAAUAAUUUGUAUUUUCAGGUGAAUAAAGAUUAGAUGGUCUGUGGUACCACGUGCACUAACUGGAUCUUUCAUCAUUUAAUAAUAGAGGCUUAUUUAAAUGGAUUUAUCGUUGAUCUAUAUAUUUGUUUUUAUUUCAUCUUUAGUGAUACCUUUUUUGUUUUAACAUUCUAGUGGCAAAUUGUUUCUUGAAAAAUAAGGUUGUAAAUUGAUUUGCUGCAACUCAUAUAAAUAUCAAACAACAAUGGUGUCACAUGUGGAGCAUGAUUUGUUUACCCUUCAAGGUUAGAUUUUUUUCCUAAAAUAAUAUCUUUAUUGCACUUUUCUUUGCUGUUUUCACAAAUUACUCGACCUACAGCAGUUGCGAGAUCACUCCAAGUUUUUAAUGCGGUUCCUGUUGCUCAUUCUUU